GGCUUCCUGGAAUGUGCGCCAGUUGGUGUCGUCCUUGAGCCGUUAUAAAAAAAUAGGGGAUUCUGGCGUCGGCGCCAGUGUGCAUACCCAACGCCUUUGCCGCGGGUAGCCUUAGGUACCGCCCGGGUCACCGCCUUGAACCAAAACGGUUCAGGGCCAACCAAACAGCGGCAUUCCGGUGGCAA
rnacentral:other from 1 species